rnacentral:rRNA from 1 species
UACGGGGGGAGCAAGCGUUGUUCGGAUAUACUGGGCGUAAAGGGCGCGUAGGCGGCCUGUGCAAGUCAGUUGUGAAAUCUCCGGGCUUAACUCGGAACGGUCAACUGAUACUGCUCGGCUAGAGUGCGGAAGGGGCAACUGGAAUUCUCGGUGUAGCGGUGAAAUGCGUAGAUAUCGAGAGGAACACCUGCGGCGAAGGCGGGUUGCUGGGCUGACACUGACGCUGAGGCGCGAAAGCCAGGGGAGCGAACGGG